CUUUUUUUUUUUUUUUUUUUUUUUUUUGAGGCAGGAUCUCACUCUGUUCCCCAGGCUGCCCAAAGUGCUGGGAUUACAGGCAUGGGCCACUGUGCCCGACUUGGAGUCAGAACUUUAACAGCAGAAAAAGAGGAGUGGUGCCCCUUUAAAUCACAGAUAGUCAUUCCGUGCUUUUUGGGGAGAUUGAUGCUGGGUCCUAGUGGUCUCCUGCAGGGGCUGGAACCACCCCAGAGAAAGGAGAGCAGGCUUCUGUCCCUUCUUGCUGCACUUCCGAAUAACACAGGUCAGCCCAGGGCCAGAACCUUGGGGCAGCUCCACCUAAGAAACUGUCCUGUUGCCCCUGAUCCCGCUGUCCCAAGCCCAAUCCUCACACCAAGGCAAGGUGGGCAGAAGGCAGAGGUUGUGGGGGUGUGGGUGGGUGGGGGUCCUUAUGUUCCACAGUACAGGAGCUGGACCAGGAAGAUGGAAUUUGCUACCCUGAGUGACCAUAGAGAGGGUUUCUAGAAACUCAACUUUCCAAGUAGGUUUAGAGAAAAGUGCGCUUGUCCUCCCACUGCUACCAGCUGGGGAAGUGCACGUGUGCGUGCUGCUUCAACAGCUCAGAAGUCCUGGGAGCUUUUAAAAAUUUCCCAAUCCAGGUUCUGCCUACUGGGCUCCAGCCUCCCUCAGAAAGACAGAAGGCAGAAGGCAGACUCCUUGGUUCUUCGAAGUAGCUCAGCUAGACCUGAUGACAACACUGGCCUGUGGGUAGAUUCUCUGCAGGGCCAGCCUGCACCUCCCAGCAAGGGCACCACCUGGUGGCGGGCACUCUAUAGGAUGGGCUCUCUAUCUCUCUGGUGGUGUGUGUGUGUACGUGCCUGUGUGUGCGUGCAUGUGUUUAGGUGGAGGGUAAAGUGGGUGGGGAGGGGAUUUACCCUCUGCAGCCUCAGGCUUCCCUGGCAAGCCACUGCCUUGGACAUGACAUUUCCUAGUUUGGCUGGGGCCCUGUGGCCAGAUGUAAGAAUUUAAGCUCUGCGCUUAGGGCUCGUGCAACCUUAGACACUAAAUGUCUCUAAGCCUGUUUCUUAUCUGUAAAAGGAAAAUCAAAGUACCUAGCUCUUUGGGUUCGUUGUUAAAAAUAAAUGAGAUUAUGUUUUGGAUUCCCAAUAAAUAGAUCCUGAGAGAUUCAGACGUAAGUAGUUUAUUUGAGAAGUGACUCCAGGAAAAACCACUUGGGGAGAGGGAUGUGAGCCAGGAGUGGGGAAAAAGAUGGCAAGAGUGACUUAUCCAGCAAGUGUUUUGCCACCAAGGGCACCUGCAUGCCAUCCCUCUCAGUAGGACCUUGCCUGACGGGAGGAGGGAGCUGGGAUAUUUAUCCACAGAUUCCCAUCAGUCACUGUGGGAGGACCACUCCUGGGGUGCCUUAGUGCCUUAGCUCUCUCACUUAUUUGGCAUGUGGGCACGGUGGGCACCAGCAACCAGAAAGGGUCCUCAGACAGAUUUGGAAAUGAUGGCAUUCUGAAGUUGGGCCAACAUGUAUGGAAAUGGUUAGUGGGGAGAGGGGAUGGCUGGGGCACC
ensembl:lncRNA